rnacentral:rRNA from 1 species
UACGUAGGGAGCGAGCGUUGUCCGGAUUUAUUGGGCGUAAAGAGCUCGUAGGCGGUGCCGUAAGUCGGAUGUGAAAUCCCGGGGCUCAACCCCGGAACUGCAUUCGAUACUGCGGUGCUCGAGGACUGGAGAGGAGACUGGAAUUCAUGGUGUAGCAGUGAAAUGCGUAGAUAUCAUGAGGAAGACCGGUGGCGAAGGCGGGUCUCUGGACAGUUCCUGACGCUGAGGCACGAAGGCCAGGGGAGCGAACGGG